rnacentral:lncRNA from 1 species
GGAAUUUUGCUGUUAAGAUUUUUCCAGAGAUGUUCAAGUUCAAAGACGUUACACAAUUAGAGGCAUCACAUCAAUAGAGAGGAGCUGACCCUGGACCUCUCUCAGCAUCAAAGAAGACACUCUAAAAAUCUAUGAGAUGACAUCAUGUGUUCUGGCAAAAUCGUGGUUAAAUACAGAUAGGAGAAUGCAACCUGCAGGAUCUUGCAACAUUAGACUUUCCUCCGCACACUGCAAUCGUGGCAGGGGCACCCUCUGUGGGAGGCCUGGUCUCAAGCUUGUGCUGCACCUGCUGGAAGGCUCCAUUGGAACACCCGUCUGCUGCUGCACCCCCUCCCUCACUGCUUCCCACUGGGAAACUGGGCUGAUAUUAAUUCAGAAAGAGAGUGGAUUACUUCAGAGGUUUCACUAGACUUUCCUCACUUUA